rnacentral:lncRNA from 1 species
CAGAACCCUUGUUACCGGAUGACCCAACACAGGAUUCCCUUUGAUACGGAAGUCAUUCAAGAUAAUGCCUUUGCGAUGGAAGAUGUCAACAAAGGACCAAGGCCUUUGGCAGCACAAAACUGUGGCUGUCCUGGAAGAGGGAAAGAUUGAGCCAGGAAACCUGCUUACAGAUUUGCAUACAUUCCUGUGGUGGUCCUUAUUAACAUCUGUACUACUAAGAGCCGUAACCCGAGAGCAGAGGUGAGAUGCACGCAGAACCGGGCAGAAUGGACUGAAGGGACAGCACAGGCGGGAGAUGCCGGGGCGUAGCAUGACUAGGGCAGCAAAGGGGACCCGUUGUGUCUGGACAUGUCUGGGUGUGUGCUUGCCUGCAGUGAAGAUCUCUGCUUCCUUUCCUGCUGCUGAGAAAUCCCUGGGAAAAGCCAGGGAGCCCAGUGCUGACCCUCAGAGGCCCUCCCACCACACUCCCACUGGACACCCACCCUCACUGGCCUGGAUAAUCCCUCCAGUUGUUGCUUCUGAUUAAGUUGUGUCAAUAAAAAGGAAAGGAAAGAAAACUCGGCAAGCAGCAAAAGUGUGAACACAGCC